UCUAGAGGUUUCAAGAGAAACAAAACGAAAUAACAAGAGGAAGAAAGAAGAGAAGAGAAGAGAAACUUAGGCUAGAAACAAGGAAAGAGCUACGAUUUUGGGAGGAGAAAAAGGCAGCCCAAAACGUUACCAAACAGUCCCUAAGUUUCAGCUGCGCUAUAGGAAAUUCCGAGGCAAGUUUUGGCGAGUUUUGGUGAAUUUCGGGAAAGGUUCAAGAGACGACGAGGCGAGCAUAGUUAAGAGUAAUCCGUAAGAGGUACGUAAAGCGAACCUUUCUUUCUUUUGGCAUGUUUUUGACAUAAGUAU